rnacentral:rRNA from 1 species
UACGGAGGGUGCAAGCGUUAUCCGUAUUCACUGGGUUUAAAGGGUGCGUAGGCGGGCAGGUAAGUCCGUGGUGAAAUCUCUGGGCUUAACUCAGAAACUGCCAUGGAUACUAUUUGUCUUGAAUAUUGUGGAGGUGAGCGGAAUAUGUCAUGUAGCGGUGAAAUGCUUAGAUAUGACAUAGAACACCAAUUGCGAAGGCAGCUCACUACACAAUUAUUGACGCUGAGGCACGAAAGCGUGGGGAUCAAACAGG